CAGCAGCCUCGGGAAUACCGAGGGUGCGAGCGUUAAUCGGAUUUACUGGGCGUAAAGCGUGCGUAGGCGGCUUCUUAAGUCGGAUGUGAAAUCCCUGAGCUUAACUUAGGAAUUGCAUUCGAUACUGGGAAGCUAGAGUAUGGGAGAGGAUGGUAGAAUUCCAGGUGUAGCGGUGAAAUGCGUAGAGAUCUGGAGGAAUACCGAUGGCGAAGGCAGCCAUCUGGCCUAAUACUGACGCUGAGGUACGAAAGCAUGGGGAGCAAACAGGAUUAGAUACCCCUGUAGUCCCUGUCUCUUAUAC
rnacentral:rRNA from 1 species